rfam:Mesocricetus auratus contig110142, whole genome shotgun sequence.
CAGGGAAGAGCCCAGCCCAGAAUCCCCACUGCAUGGCAUGGGCAAUGUGACACACAGAAAACCCACUCCCCAGUGCCACUCGUGGAGGGCCCAAGUCCUUCUGAUGAAGGCCCAGCCAGUAGAGAGUGUGAGGCCAGAAGUGACCCCUGUCCCUCUGGGCCCGGGCCUUCUGGGUGUUGGGUUGCUUGGGAAUGCAGUUCAAAGUGGAUGGUAAACUCCAUCUAAUUACCAGUUUGAGACCAGUAGCCAGCAAGUACCAUAAGGGAAAGUUGAAAAGAACUUUGGAGAGAGUUUAAGAGGGCAUGAAACCAGUAAGAGGUAAAUGGGUGGGGUCAGGAGGAGCAAGCCAGAUGCUGAGAGAGCAAGAUGGGCACACCCUACUGAGAGAAGG